rnacentral:lncRNA from 1 species
AGUGGCUUUGCCACAACAGCAUUAAGUUAUGGGGAUUAAUAGAGUUUAUAUAUAUAUAUAUAUAUAUAUAUGCCAUAGCUACUAUACUAUUAUAAGUAUUGGAACCCUCGUACUCAUAAGUUGUUUUCAAUAAUGGAGCUUCCGAAUCGACGAUCCACUUCGUUAAAUAUGAUAUAGAGUAUUUGAAACUUCUAGAAAAUAAAUUUCGUAAAUUUUCGAAAUCAUAAUAAAGUCCAUCAAGUGAGCAUAAAAUGAACGGUCAAAAUCGAACAACGUCCUAAAAAAGGAUGAUCGGAUCCUUCAAUUCAAGAUCGGAGUUAUUGAUCUUUAUCUAUGUAGUGAAUAGAAUUUUCUAUCAAAAAUUCAACAAAUUCCGGUUUUUUUACACCGCUAAACUAGUAAGGAUCCCAUACCGGCCGUUAAAAAUUGUCAAAUUUAUGACCUCUUGAUCGUAAGGUAAAUGAUGUCGAAAAUUUAUAAAAUUUGAUUUCUAAAAGUUUUAAAUACUGUAAAAAACGUUUAACGGUGUGGAUCAUCGAUUUGGAAGCUCUAUCAUAGAAAACAACUUAUGAGUACGAGGACGAUCGUACUCAUAAUAGUAUAGUAGCCGGACCCUAAAUAUAUAUAUGUAGUGUAGAGCUACUAUGCUAUCGAAAGUAUAGAAAAUCUGAUACUUCUAACUUUUUGAUUAUUGGAUAAAAAAUUAUAUGAUUGGAAUGAUUGCGGUCUCCUAGAGUUGAGUAGUACCCUUAGAGUUGAGUGGUCCCCACAGAGUAAUAGUAUUAAUCUAAAGAUUAGAAAUGAUCAAAAAGGUUGAUCUAAGUGCCAAAAAAUCAAAAGUACUAGAUCUUCUAUGCUUCCGAUAGCAUAGUAACUCUACUCUAUAUAUAUAUAUAUAUAUAUAUAUAUAUAUAUAGUAGAGUAGAUUAUACUAUUCAACCAACCACCCACUCAACCCUAGGGGGCCCAUAUCAUCCUAACCGCACAUCACUUAAUCCAAUGGCCAAAAACUUGGUAGCACCAAUGACUU